GUUCGAUUCGAGCGCAGCGAGAAAGCGUUGCCGCAGGCAACGACCCGAAGGGCGAAGCGCGCAGCGCUGAGUAAUCCUUCCCCCACCACCA
rnacentral:sRNA from 2 species